rnacentral:rRNA from 1 species
UACAGAGGUCCCGAGCGUUGUUCGGAUUCAUUGGGCGUAAAGGGUGCGCAGGUGGCGGGGCAAGUCUGAUGUGAAAUCCCGGGGCUCAACUCCGGAACUGCAUUGGAUACUGCUUUGCUUGAGUACUGGAGAGGAGACUGGAAUUUACGGUGUAGCAGUGAAAUGCGUAGAGAUCGUAAGGAAGACCAGUGGCGAAGGCGAGUCUCUGGACAGUUACUGACACUGAGGCACGAAGGCCUGGGGAGCAAACGGG